AUUGAACGCUGGCGGCAGGCUUAACACAUGCAAGUCGAGCGGGGUGAUGGUGCUUGCACUAUCACUUAGCGGCGGACGGGUGAGUAAUGCUUAGGAAUCUGCCUAUUAGUGGGGGACAACAUCUCGAGAGGGAUGCUAAUACCGCAUACGUCCUACGGGAGAAAGCAGGGGAUCACUUGUGACCUUGCGCUAAUAGAUGAGCCUAAGUCGGAUUAGCUAGUUGGUGGGGUAAAGACCUACCAAGGCGACGAUCUGUAGCGGGUCUGAGAGGAUGAUCCGCCACACUGGGACUGAGACACGGCCCAGACUCCUACGGGAGGCAGCAGUGGGGAAUAUUGGACAAUGGGGGGAACCCUGGUCCAGCCAUGCCGCGUGUGAGAAGAAGGCCUUAUGGUUGUAAAGCACUUUAAGCGAGGAGGAGGCUCUUUUGGUUAAUACCCAAGAUGAGUGGACGUUACUCGCAGAAUAAGCACCGGCUAACUCUGUGCCAGCAGCCGCGGUAA
rnacentral:rRNA from 1 species